rnacentral:sRNA from 1 species
AGUACAGUGCCCCCUCCCCUUUGUGGCAGUAUACAGACCUUGCUAUGUCCACAAACCCAGGAUCCAGAAGUGGCAGUGUCUGGCUGUACCUAGAAACUCUCACAGCUGUCUCCUAGUCUUUGGAGUUGGGAUCUGAAGGACCACAUCAAUUCUACUCUGACACAGGCUCCUUUUGCCUCCGCUCAGCUGGUAGCCAAGUUGUGGAGGUCACCUACAUAUUGAAAGAAUAUAGUCCCAGGAGACCUCUAAUGGAAGGGCAGGAGGUCAAGACUGAAUGCCUCAUCAAACACGAUUGGAAAGCUUUUAAAUCCUUGGCACAACCUGAUCCUGGGCCUUCUUAGAGACGCUGCACCAGCCUGCCAGCAGACUCCAGGAAUCAGCCUUUCUCUGCUUUCCCUAGUAUUAGUACGACAAGCAAGAGCCACUGAAGACUGAAGUUCCUAUUGAUCAGCCAUUUCCCGGGUCCCUUUAUUAGCUUCUCUGUGUCAAUAAAAUCUCAUGGAUUCUCUUGCUCGUUGCUGGCUGCUGGCAGGUGAGCUGUUCUGUUCUACCACGCCCUCCCCGCCAUGGCAUACGAGAACCUCUGAAACAAAAGUUUGGAGACUUCCUCUCUUAACGAAGAUGCAUCCGACGAGCACAGCAUCAGGGAGAGAAGGGAGUGUCCUGAAGCAGAAGAGUGUGGUAGCUCACUAGUCAAGAGCACUCCUGUUCUCCCAGAAUUGGGUUCAAUCUCCAACACUCAUAUGGCAACUCACAACCAUGUGUG